rnacentral:rRNA from 1 species
AGUGAACGCUGGCGGUAGGCCUAACACAUGCAAGUCGAACGGCAGCACAGUAAGAGCUUGCUCUUACGGGUGGCGAGUGGCGGACGGGUGAGGAAUACAUCGGAAUCUACUUUUUCGUGGGGGAUAACGUAGGGAAACUUACGCUAAUACCGCAUACGACCUACGGGUGAAAGCAGGGGAUCUUCGGACCUUGCGCGAUUGAAUGAGCCGAUGUCGGAUUAGCUAGUUGGCUGGGUAAAGGCCCACCAAGGCGACGAUCCGUAGCUGGUCUGAGAGGAUGAUCGGCCACACUGGAACUGAGACACGGUCCAGACUCCUACGGGAGGCAGCAGUGGGGAAUAUUGGGCAAUGGGCGCAAGCCUGAUCCAGCCAUGCCGCGUGAGUGAAGAAGGCCUUCGGGUUGUAAAGCCCUUUUGUUGGGGAAGAAAAGCAGCAGGUUAAUACCCCGCUGUUCUGACGGUACCCAAAGAAUAAGCACCGGCUAACUUCGUG